rnacentral:rRNA from 1 species
UAAUAGCUGCAGUAAAUUGACUGUGCAAAGGUAGCAUAAUUAUUAGUUUUUUAAUUGAAAGCUGGAAUGAAGGGUUUGAUGAAAAAAUAUCUGUCUCUGUUUAAAUUAAUUUGAAUUUUAUUUUUAAGUAAAAAAGCUUAAAUUUAUAUUGAAGACGAGAAGACCCUAUAGAGUUUUAUAAUUUAGAAUUAAUAUUUAAUUUUAGAAUUUUAUGGUUUAAUUUAAAAAUUAUUUAAUUGGGGUGAUUUAAAAAUUAAAUAAACUUUUUAUUUAUUUUAUAUAUUUAUUUGUAGAUUUUUGAUCCUAAAUUUUAGAUUAAAAGAAAAAAUUACCUUAGGGAUAACAGCGUUAUUUUUUUUAGAGUUCUUAUUGAAAAAAAAGAUUGCGACCUCGAUGUUGGAUUAAAGUUAAUUAUUGGUGUAGAAGCUAAUAAAUUAAGUCUGYUCGACUUUUGAAAUUUUACAUGAUCUGAGUUUAGACCGGCGYGAGCCAGGUYGGUUUCUA